rfam:Salmo salar isolate Sally breed double haploid chromosome ssa17, whole genome shotgun sequence.
UGCACGGAUGAUUAUAAGUCACUUUGGAUAAAAGUGUCUGCUAAAUGGCAUAUU